rnacentral:lncRNA from 1 species
AAAACAGCAAAGUAAUUUCCCAAAAUAAUGGCCCUGGGUAUCUUGGAAGAGGAGACUCUAUCUCUGUGUUUCCCCCAUCCCUAGUUUCAUGAGCAAUUAACCCUGUAUUUCCAUGCUCAGGCAAGUCAAAUAACCCUUGCAGAGCUGGUUGAAGGUGCUGGGAGGAGAGGUGGUCUUGAACUGCAUGGUAAGAAUGGUCCUGAAGUGCCCAGGGGGGUGAGAGAGUCCAGUCCACCAAAGUAACUAAUCUGGGCCAAAGCAGGCAGAACAGUGCAGCUAGCCUUUCCAGAAGUCAACAGCAGAUAAAGGGAGAGACGUCUAGACCACUGGGUCUCAGGCUCAGCAUGCAUCAGAAUCAUCUGGAAGGUAAGUUAAAACACCAGCUGCUGGGUGCUAGCCCCAGAGUUUGUGAAUCUGUGGGUUUGUGAUGAGGCUGGAGGGUCUAUGUUUCUAGAAAGCUCUCAGGUGAAGCUCAUGUGCUGGCCCACAGACCCCUCUCAUUAGUCUCUAUGCCUCGCAGUGACCCUCUUGGUCCUCAGGGGCUGCUGAAGUGAGAGGGGUGGGAGAAUGAUGAAUGAGCAUGCUAAUGCAAAUCACUGUUCACUACUCAUGUAAUCCUUCAGGCAGUCCUGUAAAAUAGGUCUGAUUUUUUCCAUCUUUCUGAUGAGCAAAGUGGCUUAGAGAGGUUAUUUCUCAAGUUCACACACUUAAGUGUCUGUCAGAGUGGAUUUAAUUGAGCUAGGGGUCCCACGAUCAGGUUUUCUAUAGCUUCCAGGUGAUGGUAAUAUGCAGUGUGGGCUGGGAGCCACUGAUCUGAGACUUCCACACUCUGAACCAGCUGCCAGAACAAGACACUGUUGACCCCAUAAUGUGAGGACACUUCCCCAGGAUUUGCAGUGGAAUGUGAGGGUUUCCAAAGUCAUCUUUUUGAAGAGAUUUUUUUUUUCCACAUUCUGGUAUUAAAAGAGUUGUGAGGAUAGGAAGACUAGCAGGCAAAGACAUUGAGAAAAAGUUGUUUUAAAAACAGAAUUUGAAUGUCAUUCCAGGCUACUGACUUCUUUUGGCCCUCUGGAAGCAUUAGACCUAGUUUCUAGAACAAUCACACUUAGGGGCAUGAGUGGCCAUCCUACCCUACACCCAGGUAUAAACUGACCAGUGGCUAUGACUCCUCUCUUUCCCCACUGUACCAGCCAUGGUUCCUGCAGGGAAUAAAUGGCCCACUCUAAGUAAGACAAUGGAGGAUUGUCCAAUAAAGGUGCUACCUGCAAAGCUGGGGGUGAGUUGGUAAACCACAAGAAAUACUGCAGUGCCCAGAAGGAGAGAAAGCAAUAGAGGUGACUAUUUUGAGAGGAACAAUGGCCUUUGGUUAAGGUUGGCAUGAAGCUACCCCACAAGGAAGAAGCCAGCAGAAUGAAUAUCCCACCACCAUGGUAUGCUGGACAGUGUUUAAUCAUUGGCCCUCUGGAGAAAAAAAUAUUUGUAGCAUUUACCCAUUUUCUGUGUAUUAAAUACCAUCCCCAUGGCUUAUUUCAAGCUACCUAUGUGAGGUCACCAGAUGCAGAAUUGACAAUAGAUGUGCACAGUCAACUCUCGUGAGCCACUAUGAGCAGGCUCUAGCCCAGCACUGCCCCAACUUCAUUCAUCCCCCUUCACUCCAAUCUCCUGCCAGACAUCCCCACUGACCACACCCAGCUGGAAGCCAGCGGCAAAGGGAGUCCACUGACAGAGUCCAUGGACAGCCUCUCAGUCUGCCAGGACGGGAGACCAUUAACAAGAAGAGGAGGAGGAGAAGAGCUUUGAAAAAGUGCCCUGGGAGAAGUCAUUCAGCCUUUUCCUCCAGGCUCCCUGGCUCUCAUGGACCCCCAUGUGCCCACCUCAGCCUUUUCUGGGUUGUGGCAUGAAAUGCCCGUGUGCUGCCUACAUGACCCAAGUGAUACUGCC